AUGAACGCUGGCGGCGUGCUUAACACAUGCAAGUCGAACGGAAAGGCCCAAGCUUGCUUGGGUGCUCGAGUGGCGAACGGGUGAGUAACACGUGGGUGAUCUGCCCUGCACUUUGGGUUAAGCCUGGGAAACUGGGUCUAAUACCGGAUAGGACCAUCGUUUAGUGUCGGUGUUGGAAGGUUUUUCGGUGUGGGAUGAGUUCGCGGCCUAUCAGCUGGUUGGUGGGGUAAUGGCCUACCAAGGCGUCGACGGGUAGCCGGCCUGAGAGGGUGUACGGCCACAUUGGGACUGAGAUACGGCCCAGACUCCUACGGGAGGCAGCAGUGGGGAAUAUUGCACAAUGGGCGCAAGCCUGAUGCAGCGACGCCGCGUGGGGGAUGACGGCCUUCGGGUUGUAAACUCCUUUCGCCAAGGACGAAGCGUUUUGUGACGGUACUUGGAGAAGAAGCACCGGCUAACUACGUG
rnacentral:rRNA from 1 species